AUUGAACGCUGGCGGCAGGCUUAACACAUGCAAGUCGAGCGAGCGGCGGACGGGUGAGUAAUGUCUGGGAAACUGCCUGAUGGAGGGGUCUAACUACUGGAAACGGUAGCUAAUACCGCAUACCAUCAGAUGUGCCCAGAUGGGAUUAGCUAGUCGGUGGGGUAAAGGUUCACCUAGGCGACGAUCCCUAGCUGGUCUGAGAGGGUGACCAGCCACACUGGAACUGAGACACGGUCCAGACUCCUACGGGAGGCAGCAGUGGGGAAUAUUGGACAAUGGGCGCAAGCCUGAUACAGCCAUGCCGCGUGUGUGAAGAAGGCCUUCGGGUUGUAAAGCACUUUCAGCGAGGAGGCGUUACUCGCAGAAGAAGCACCGGCUAACUCCGUGCCAGCAGCCGCGGUAAUUC
rnacentral:rRNA from 1 species